CACGUAGGGUGCAAGCGUUGUUCGGAAUCACUGGGCGUAAAGGGCGCGUAGGCGGCCGAUCAAGUCGGGGGUGAAAGCCUGUGGCUCAACCACAGAAUUGCCUUCGAUACUGUUUGGCUUGAGACCGGAAGAGGUUAGUGGAACUGCGAGUGUAGAGGUGAAAUUCGUAGAUAUUCGGAAGAACACCAGUGGCGAAGGCGGCUGACUGGUCCGGUUCUGACGCUGAGGCGCGAAAGCGUGGGGAGCAAACAGG
rnacentral:rRNA from 1 species